rnacentral:rRNA from 1 species
GACAGUUCGGUCCCUAUCUGUCGCGGGCGUAGGAAAUUUGAGAGGGGCUGUCCUUAGUACGAGAGGACCGGGAUGGACGCACCGCUGGUGUACCAGUUGUUCCGCCAGGAGCACCGCUGGGUAGCCAAGUGCGGGAGGGAUAAGCGCUGAAAGCAUCUAAGCGCGAAGCCCGCCUCAAGAUGAGAUUUCCCAAUUCGUAAGACCCCUGGAAGAACACCAGGUUGAUAGGCUCGGGGUGGAAGCGCGGCAACGCGUGCAGCUGACGAGUACUAAUCGGUCGAGGGCUUAUCCUAUU